CAGUAGCCACGGGAAUACGUAGGUGGCAAGCGUUGUCCGGAAUUAUUGGGCGUAAAGCGCGCGCAGGUGGUUUAAUAAGUCUGAUGUGAAAGCCCACGGCUCAACCGUGGAGGGUCAUUGGAAACUGUUAAACUUGAGUGCAGGAGAGAAAAGUGGAAUUCCUAGUGUAGCGGUGAAAUGCGUAGAGAUUAGGAGGAACACCAGUGGCGAAAGCGGCUCUCUGGCUUGUAACUGACGCUGAGGCUCGAAAGCGUGGGGAGCAAACAGGAUUAGAUACCCCGGUAGUCCCUGUCUCUUAUAA
rnacentral:rRNA from 1 species